CCAGACUCCUACGGGAGGCAGCAGUGGGGAAUAUUGCACAAUGGGGGAAACCCUGAUGCAGCAACGCCGCGUGAGUGAAGAAGUAUUUCGGUAUGUAAAGCUCUAUCAGCAGGGAAGAAGAUGACGGUACCUGAUUAAGAAGCCCCGGCUAACUACGUGCCAGCAGCCGCGGUAAUACGUAGGGGGCAAGCGUUAUCCGGAUUUACUGGGCGUAAAGGGAGCGCAGACGGCAGUGCAAGUCUGGAGUGAAAGCCCGGGGCCCAACCCCGGAACUGCUCUGGAAACUGUGCGGCUAGAGUGCAGGAGGGGCAGGCGGAAUUCCUAGUGUAGCGGUGAAAUGCGUAGAUAUUAGGAGGAACACCAGUGGCGAAGGCGGCCUGCUGGACAGUAACUGACGUUGAGGCUCGAAAGCGUGGGGAGCAAACAGGAUUAGAUCCCCCAGUA
rnacentral:rRNA from 1 species